GCUGGCGGCUGCUGUUGGGAGAGCUCUAUCAUGGCGAGCGUUUGGGCUUCGUUCUGAAACUAGUAGCUUUUUUAAACCCAUUCUUUAUAACUGAUUAUACUGUAGGGACGAAAGUCUCUGCUUUUAACUAGAUAGCAACUUUCACCAGUGGAUGUCUAGGCUCGCACAUCGAUGAAGAACGCUGCGAACUGCGAUACGUAAUGCGAAUUGCAGGAUUCAGUGAGUCAUCGAAAUUUUGAACGCAUAUUGCACUUCCGGGUUAGUCCUGGGAGUAUGCCUGUAUCAGUGUCCGUACAUCAAACUUGGUUUUCUUCCUUCCGUGUAGUCGGUGGUGGAUGUGCCAGAUGUGAAGUGUCUUGCGGCUGGUCUUCGGAUCGGCUGUGAGUCCUUUGAAAUGUACUGAACUGUACUUCUCUUUGCUCCAAAAGCGUGGCGUUGCUGAUUGUGGAGGCUGCUUGCGUAGCCAGUCUGGCGACCAGUUUGUCUGCUGUGGCGUUAAUGGAGGAGUGUUCGAUUCGCGGUAUGGUUGGCUUCGGCUGAACAGACGCUUAUAGAAUAUUUCUUCAGCUGUGGUGGUAUGAUUGGUGAACCGUAGCUAUGUGAACUUGGCUUUUGAAAUGGCUUUGCUGUUGCGAAGUAGAGUGGCGGCUUCGGCUGUCGAGGGUCGAUCCAUUUGGGAACUUGUGUAUGCUUCGGCAUGCAUCUCAA
rnacentral:rRNA from 1 species